rnacentral:rRNA from 1 species
CUACGGGCGGCUGCAGUGGGGAAUUUUGCGCAAUGGGCGAAAGCCUGACGCAGCAAUACCGCGUGAGUGAAGAAGGCCUUUGGGUCGUAAAGCUCUUUUCUGGGGGAAGAUAGUGACGGUACCCCAGGAAUAAGCACCGGCUAACUCCGUGCCAGCAGCCGCGGUAAUACGGAGGGUGCAAGCGUUGUUCGGAUUUACUGGGCGUAAAGGGCACGUAGGCGGCACAGCAAGUUAAGGGUGAAAUCCCGGGGCUCAACUCCGGAACUGCUCUUAAAACUGCUGAACUAGAGAUAGUCAGAGGCGGGUGGAAUUCCUGGUGUAGAGGUGAAAUUCGUAGAUAUCAGGAGGAACACCGGUGGCGAAGGCGGCCCGCUGGGGCUAUUCUGACGCUAAGGUGCGAAAGCGUGGGGAGCGAACGGGAUUAGAUACCCCCGUAGUC